rnacentral:rRNA from 1 species
UACGUAGGGGGCAAGCGUUGUCCGGAUUUAUUGGGCGUAAAGCGCUCGCAGGUGGUUCGUUGCGUCGUGCGUGAAAGACCCCGGCUCAACUGGGGGAUGUCGUGCGAUACGGGCGGACUGGAGGCCAGUAGGGGGAUGCGGAAUUCCGGGUGUAGUGGUGGAAUGCGUAGAGAUCCGGAGGAACACCAGCGGCGAAGGCGGCAUCCUGGACCGGUAUUGACGCUGAGGCGCGAAAGCCAGGGGAGCAAACGGG